rnacentral:rRNA from 1 species
UACGUAGGGUGCGAGCGUUAAUCGGAAUUACUGGGCGUAAAGCGCGCGCAGGCGGCCGCGCAAGUCGUGUGUGAAAUCCCCGGGCUCAACCCGGGAACUGCGUCCGAUACUGGAAGGCUUGAAUCCGGGAGAGGGAUGCGGAAUUCCAGGUGUAGCGGUGAAAUGCGUAGAUAUCAGGAGGAACACCAGUGGCGAAGGCGCCGCUCUGGGCCGAGACUGACGCUGAGGAGCGAAAGCGUGGGUAGCAAACAGG